CAGCAUCUAGGCUCAAUUCCAUAGGUGUUGA
rnacentral:piRNA from 1 species